GGCAGUUCAGCCUCCUUUGAAAAUUGAAAAUUAAAAUCUGCAAAAACACCUUUGAAUCUUUCUCUUUCUCUCUCUCUCUCUCUCUCCUCUCUUUGAGUGUGUAUAUAUACCCCUACCACCCACACUAUUGUCCUUACAAAACUCUGCCUCUCUCAAACUAGAUAGCAAGUGCAGAGCCAGAGCUUCUUUCUUCCAAUCUUUUUUCUUUCUUUCUGAAGUCUGAGUUUAAGUGAAGCAGCUAGAAAUGGAGGCAAUGAAGAUGAAUGCUUUUGUGGCUUUGUUGGUGGUUGUGAUGGUGGCCUUGUCUGGCGUUCAAAAAGUAGCUGCAGCUGAUUCUCCAGCACCAAGCCCAGCUUCUGAUGCCUAUGCCUUUGCCCCCACUUUCUUUGCAUCUCUAGCAGCUUUGGCUUUUGGGUUCUUCUUCUGAGCUCAUGACUGCAUUUUAGGUUCAUUUGAUGGUUGCUUGCUCAUUUCUCUCUCUCUCCAUUUCUCCUAAUCUCUCUCUUUACUCACUUGUAUUGAGUGUUUAAUGAGAGGGAGCAAGGGGGACAGAGAGGGAAAGUGGGUUGGGAUUUUCUUUUAUAUUAUUUGGGAAUUUCAGGUUUAAAUUUAAUUAUUUAUUGUUGAUGUUGGGAUUUGUUUGGGUGUGAUUGAUGUGUUUGUUGGUGGUUUUGUAUCAUAUAUGAUGUAUAAUUAAAUGUUAAUUUUGUCUAAUUUUGUUUUUGAUGGGGGAAUAUGCCUAUGGGAUGUUAAAUUUAGGCUAAUAAUAAGGAGAUCAUGGGGAAGAAUGUGAAUGUGAUGUACUGCUGCUUCUUGUACUAGUGGUGGAUAGAUUUUCUCUAUCAUUGUAUCUGUGAUUCAUUGGUUUGGUAGUAAUAAAUUCCAUUAUUCUUCUAUAUAUAUGUAUAUAUUUUCUUGUGUCUGUAAUAUUUCUGAAUGGUUUUUCAGUUUCACCAUAAGAAAAUAGAAAAGGAUUAUAUAGAAAGAGGAAAAUAUGAAGGGUUGUUGGCAAGAGUUGUAGCUAGCCAGCUUGGCAGAUUCUAAUCCCCUUGUAAUGUAAUGAUGAAGGGCAUUGGUUGGUUCUGGUUCUCUCUCUCUCUCUCUCUCUCUCUCUCUCCUCUCCCUUGGUAGCAUCCUAGCAUCAUGGACAGGUAUUCCUGUGAUCAAGAUUCAAGAGGAGGCUUGAAGUCCCUCUACCUAAACCAUGUACUUUGGUCACUUACCAAGAAAAACAAAACCAAUCGAUAAAAAAACAAAAGAAAAGACAAAAUUAAAAAACCAAAUACUUUGAUCCUGGGAAAAAUCAAGUUUGUGUGGGUAGCCUUGCUUUUGGAGAACAGCCUCAGAUAUUUUGUAUUGUUGUGUUCCAAAUGAAAUUCUUCGUAUCCAUGAAUGAAUAAAAUGACUUGAUGCCUAAAAUAUCUAUAUCUUUUGUACAAUAAUUUCUUGUAUUGUAUGCGUGUUUUGUCUUCAAUACAAAGGAUAUUGUAAAUUUCGAAGGAGGAAAUCGAACUCGGAUGCAAAGCAAUGAAACACAACUAAACUAAUUGAUGUCUGCAACUGCAACUUAUUGUAGUGUAUGUACGUAUCAUUGACAAGUAGGGUUGG
rnacentral:lncRNA from 1 species